GACGGAGGACGGAGGACUGAGGCCAGAGGACGAACAGAGCCCUUCACGGGUUAAAACCAUGAAGUUGCGGAGGACCCCUCCCCAGGCCUAGAGAGACCCGGCCCCUCUAACCUAUCCCCUUUCCACUUCCAAUUUCCGGCAGGCGCGACUUCCGGUUCCGGCAAUGGGCUACAAAGCUUUGCGCCGGGGCUGGGGGCUCCCUUUCUCGGAGUCGCUUGUGGGGUGUCUGCUCCCGCGGUGAGCUGCCUCUGAAGCGGCAAAGGGGCCUGUGAGUCAUCCUUUUCCAGAGUUCCAGAAUGGAGACUGAAGGAGACCCAAAGGCACAAAAAGAUAGAGAAGUCCAGAAUGAUCAAAUAAUGUCACCUCCAAAUGAGAUGGUGGCUAAGGAGCCAGAAGAUGUCCUAACAGCGGCUCCCCAGGCCCAGGUUCCACAAGAGCCUUCUGGGCAUCCGCCAAAGAGCCUUGAAAACGUUUGUGUCAAAAAUGUUCAGACCGGGCCAGGAAGGAAUCCUGUCAAUCCUCUCGUCUUCAGGCAGAUGUUCAGAAAGUUCCGCUGUGAGGGUCCAUCUAGGCCCAGGGAAGUCUUCAGGCAUCUGCUAGCGCUUGCUAUGCAGUGGCUGAGACCCGACCUUCACACAAAGGAGCAGAUGAUAGAAAUGCUGGUGCAGGAGCAAUUCCAGAUCAUCCUGCGUGAUAUGCUCAGAGCUCGGCAGCAGAAGUGUCCGUCCAUUGUCAGAUACCCUGGCUGAGUCUCACUGCUUAUUUCUUGCUCAGCCUACAUCUGAGAUGUUUGGUUAAAGGUUCUCUUUGUAAGUUCUUAUUACAGUCAUGGGAAAUCUAAACCUCAAUUUCCUUUGAGUUUGCUUUUGACUAGUUGUAACAAAUUGAUCAAAACCCAUGUCUGGACCUGUUUUUGCCUGAGGCAGCUGUUUCCUGGGACUGAACUCCAGAGGGAGUUUCUCUGCCCUCUUGUUAGGACAAUCGGCCUGCUGUUUGUUUUGCUCUGCUGAAUGUCUUUUUGCACUUUGUGAUAUCCUUUAAUAUAUUGUUUUUAUGUAUCCAAAGAGGUAAUUAUUUUAACUUGCAGAAUUCUUGAUUCUUGCUGUUGUGGCAUGAGUGGGAAUUUCUGUAACCUCACCAGUAACUCACUUGGGAUGUCCUUGAAAUAUUAAAGUUUGUUUGGUUCUUAAAAA